CCUACGGGGGGCAGCAGUGGGGAAUAUUGCACAAUGGGGGAAACCCUGAUGCAGCGACGCCGCGUGAGCGAUGAAGUAUUUCGGUAUGUAAAGCUCUAUCAGCAGGGAAGAAAAUGACGGUACCUGACUAAGAAGCCCCGGCUAACUACGUGCCAGCAGCCGCGGUAAUACGUAGGGGGCAAGCGUUAUCCGGAUUUACUGGGUGUAAAGGGUGCGCAGGCGGCACGGCAAGCCGGCGGUCAAAUCGCGGGGCUCAACCCCGCCCAGCCGUCGGAACUGCCGGGCUAGAGUGGGCGAGAAGUGCG
rnacentral:rRNA from 1 species